rnacentral:misc_RNA from 2 species
CAACCCAUCAAGCGUACGCUUGGUCUUGGGGCUUGCGGUUUCGCAGCCUCUAAACUCAGUGGCGGUGCUAUUGAGCUCUGAGCGUAGUAAUUUUUCUCGCUAUAGGGUCUCGGUGGUGACUUGCCAGCAACCCCCAAUUUUUAUCA